CAAAGCCGCGAGGCAGAGCGACCCCAAAAAGCCGUCCCAGUUCGGAUCGCAGGCUGCAACCCGCCUGCGUGAAGUCGGAAUCGCUAGUAAUCGCGGAUCAGCAUGCCGCGGUGAAUACGUUCCCGGGCCUUGUACACACCGCCCGUCACACCAUGAGAGUCGGGAACACCCGAAGUCCGUAGCCUAACCGCAAGGAGGGCGCGGCCGAAGGUGGGUUCGAUAAUUGGGGUGAAGUCGUAACAAGGUAGC
rnacentral:rRNA from 1 species